ACGAACGCUGGCGGCGUGCUUUACACCUGCAAGUCGAACGGAAAGGCCCUGCUUGCAGGGUACUCGAGUGGCGAACGGGUGAGUAACACGUGGGUGAUCUGCCCUGCACUUCGGGAUAAGCUUGGGAAACUGGGUCUAAUACCGGAUAGGAGCCAUUUUUAGUGUGAUGGUUGGAAAGUUUUUUCGGUGUAGGAUGAGCUCGCGGCCUAUCAGCUUGUUGGUGGGGUAAUGGCCUACCAAGGCGGCGACGGGUAGCCGGCCUGAGAGGGUGGACGGCCACAUUGGGACUGAGAUACGGCCCAGACUCCUACGGGAGGCAGCAGUGGGGAAUAUUGCACAAUGGGCGCAAGCCUGAUGCAGCGACGCCGCGUGGGGGAUGACGGCCUUCGGGUUGUAAACUCCUUUCGCUAGGGACGAAGCUUUUGUGACGGUACCUAGAGAAGAAGCACCGGCUAACUACGUG
rnacentral:rRNA from 1 species